ACUGCUCAGUAACACGUGGACAACCUACCCUUGGGUCUGGCAUAAUCCUGGGAAACUGGGUAUAAUUCCAGAUAGGUCACAGAUGCUGGAAUGCACUGUGGCCGAAAGCUCCGGCGCCCAAGGAUGGGUCUGCGGCCUAUCAGGGUUGUAGUGGGUGUAACGGACCUACUAGCCUACGACGGGUACGGGUUGUGAGAGCAAGAGCCCGGAGAUGGAUUCUGAGACACGAAUCCAGGCCCUACGGGGUGCAGCAGGCGCGAAAACUUUACAAUGCGGGAAACCGUGAUAAGGGAAUCUCGAGUGCCAGCAUAUAAUGUUGGCUGUCCAGAUGCCUAAAAAGCAUCUGUUAGCAAGGGCCGGGCAAGACCGGUGCCAGCCGCCGCGGUAACACCGGCGGCCCGAGUGGUAACCGCUUUUAUUUGGUCUAAAGGGUCUGUAGCCGGCCAAGUAAGUCCCUUGGGAAAUCUGGCAGCUUAACUGUCAGGCUGCUAGGGGAUACUGCUAGGCUUGGGACCGGGAGAGGUGAGAGGUACCUUGGGGGUAGGGGUGAAAUCUUGUGAUCCUCGGGGGACCACCAGUGGCGAAGGCGUCUCACCAGAACGGGUCCGACGGUAAGGGACGAAAGCUAGGGGCACGAACCGGAUUAGAUACCCGGGUAGUCCUAGCCGUAAACGAUGCUCGCUAGGUGUCAGUCACGGUGCGACCGUGAUUGGUGCCGUAGGGAAGCCGUGAAGCGAGCCACCUGGGAAGUAUGGCCGCAAGGCUGAAACUUAAAGGAAUUGGCGGGGGAGCAC
rnacentral:rRNA from 1 species